rnacentral:tRNA from 1 species
GGGGCUGGGGCUCAGAGGUACAGUGCUCGCCUGGCAUGUGUGUGUGAGGUGCUGGGUUUGAUCCUCAGCACCACCU